UUGAUUUUGAAAUUUGAUUUUUUGCAGAAAUGUUAGUAAUCAUUUUGACGUUAAUUUCACAAUUGACAGUAGUACAACCCAUUAUGGAACAACCCGUAUGUUUAAAUCGUACUCUAGAGGAUUAUAACAUAUAUAAUUGGAUUUCCAAUUUAAAUUUACAAACCUGCACACUAGUGGAAGUUGGUCUUAAGUAUUUUGCAGUAAGUAGUCCAAUUGGUUUGCCAACCUUUUGUUAAUAGUUCCAAUAGAUAUUUGUUGAAGAUCCUGCACACAGCACAUGCAAUAACAUGUUCUUUCUUGGUAUGUGCCACAUAAAUACAUUAAAACAUUGGAAUUUUUGCACAAAAGAGCUCCUUUAUCAGAACGAGGCGAAAUGUACUUUCAAAUAUGACAAAAAACGAUUACAGAAACGUGUACACAGGCGAUUUUGCGACUUUAACAUAAUGAUAAAUAACAAGGAUUGUAAAUGCAAACCGACCAUCUUCGGAGAAAUGUUUUAUAAAGUUAUCGGAUUCCCGACUUGUUACAUCUCCCCAUUACCGAACAAUAUAUGCGGGAAUUACAAUGUGUGCGGUCUGAAGAGGUGCACUGCUGACUAUGUCGAGGGAAGAGUUUACUCAGUGCGUUGUGAUCCCAAUUGUGCAGGGAAUGAUUCGUUUUGUGAUUACACACCUGCAGAUAGAUCAUCGAUGCCACCAAUAAUUAACUCUGUAUGGACCAAAUGGAGAACCAUUCGUUAUUAUGACACAAACUCAGGAUUGCAUUCAAUAGCAACAUGUGUUAAUAAAUACACGUAAGGCAAAGACUAUCGUUUUGGUGAAAAUUAACAUUUUAUUUUAAGUGGAAAAGGAGCCAUUGACUGUUUAGGACCAGGCACAAGUUGUUGCUCUCCAUAUUCAGCUGAUUGUAAAUGUAGAACUUUCAUCAAAGAUGGUGUAUUAAGGGUAGAACGGUUCAUAAAAUAUUCAGACACAGAAUAUCCAUUUAUUACGGAUUAUGACGAAUAUGGCAACAGACCAAACAAUAUGUUUUUCACCAGAUCAAAUAGAUAUAAACAUAACGUUGAUGACUAUGAUUUGGAUGACGAAAGUGAAAAUAAUACAGAGAAUGAUUUGGAGGAUUAUGUAAUUUUAGAAGAGGACACAUAUAAGCCAGAUGUUACAGAAGAAGAGGAAGAAGAAAAUUAUGAAAACACAACUCAAAUGGUCAGUAACUUAAGUGUUAUUAAAAGUGGAACAAUAAGAGCGAAGUGUAAAAAUAAAAUAUUG